AUGACACGAAAAUCAAGGGAUAUUAGAUUGAGAACGGAUCCAAGGGUUGGGAUUGGUGAUAAUAACGUGCAAGGGUUUGUGGUAUUACUUCUUCCAUCUUAUAUUACAUUACUUACUUGAUUCUGACACAUAUUUUUUAUCUUUAAUAUCUUUAAUUAUUUAUUUAAAAAAAUUAUGAAAAAUUUAAUAUUUUAAAAUAUUCGUCGAAAAAAAUCCAAUAUCUUAUAUGAUAUUAUUUAUCUUUGUAUAUUAGUAUAAAAAUACGAUCAAAACAUGUCAGAUUAAAAGUAUAUAUUGUUAAACCGAUCAUCUGAUAAGGGACGGAGGGAGUAUUUUUUUAUGUCAUAAUAAUAAGACAAAGAUUGAUCAAUGAUGUGGUAGGAGGCAACUGAUGAUAAUGAUAUUAUUGUUAAUUGAAUAUUUAAUUUACCCAAUCAAACAUUGCUAUGUGCAUAUGGAAAAAUGUUUUGUUUUGUGUCCAUUUGUAAUUGUAAUGUAACGAUGUACAUCCGUCGGUCAUUAAUAUAAGCAAAAAUUUACCUUUUAGAUACAUUUAAUUAAUGAUGUAUGUGAUACAUAAUAAAGACCAUAAACAACAUUAAUUGAAUGUAUAUAAAGAGUGAAUUUUUGCUUAUACUAAUGACCGAAGGGUGUAUAAGUAAUUGAAUUUUAGUUUAAUUAUCAAGAUAUGGUUUCGAAAGUGGACACAGUCUGCCGACGUGUUGUUUUUGUUUUUUAUUGAGAUAUUAUUUUAAAUUUGGAUAAAGAAAUCAUGUUUUGCUUUUGAUGGGAAAUAUUGAAAGAUGAGGAGGACUUUUUGAUUUAGCAUGAAUCAGUCCUAAUCUGACUACUACCCAUGUUUUCACGCUGCUAAUUUUUAAUUAAUAAAAUCAAAAGGUAGUAUUAGGAGUAGUAGGUCAUAUUUUAGGGUUUAAAAUAGGGUGGCAAUAUAGGUGAUUGUAAUUUUUAUGUAGAUGGUAGGUACUGCCACUUGUUGAUUAUUAAUUACUAUUUCCUCCUUCUUUUUAUAGGACUUCAAUUUUUUGUAUUUUGCAUGAGUAAGAUUUGAUUUUAUUUUGUGUAUUGUUAGUGUAAAAUACUACCAAUAUGCACAUAGUAAAAGAAUGUUAUUUAUAAUCAGUGGCUGAUCUUGAGUUAUUUUAUUAGGGUGUCAACAUUUUAUGAAAUAAAUCUUAAGCUGUUUUAAAAAAUUGUUAAAAUUGUUCUUUAACAAAAAAUAUAUUAAAGUUGUUAACUAGUCUGGUGGUUUAUUUUGCUUGAAUUCAGCAUGGGGGUGCAAAUUUGAAUCCCCUCAAGAACAUUUGUUUGAACAAAAUAUCUAAAUAUAACUUAAAUAUGAAAAGGAGAUGGUUGAAGAGUUUUUUUUUAUCCGCCUGUAAGAAAAAUUAGUGUAUUUAUUAUGCUUAAUAUAAUAUAUAUAGAAAAUUUGGAGGAUAUCAUGGUUCUCAUGAAUUUGAAGAAAGAUAUGUCACCGCAUAUAUUUCGUAAACAUAAUUGCUUAACUUAUAUAUUUUUAAACAUGAUUUAACUUUGGACAUAAGCUAAAGAGUUUUUUAUAUGAUUUUUAUCAUCUUUAAUUAUAUUUUUAAAAGAAAAUAUGUAAAACUUAACCAUUUUUAAUAUUAAUAUUCAUUCUCUUCAAUAGUAUUAUAUUAUGGUUGAAAAGUGUUGAUAACACACACAUCACACAGUAGUAACUGGCUCUCACAUACAAUACAUAUUCUCUGCGUGGGCCAAUAAACUCAAAACGACUUAAGAGGAGAGAGUGGCAGUGGUCUGGGCUGGCAACUACCCAACCGGAAAGCGACUAGAGCACCCAAGUCUGACACGUGUCUUAACGAGGUUUCAUGGACCACAACAUAGUACUGCACAUAACAUAAUUUACUAGUGUGGGCCAAACAUAAUUGAAUCAUGUUCGUACAUUUGUAAAAAGCUGAGAAAGUUGUCACUGCUUGAAACACCACUGUCAACUAGACUGUGCUGCUGAUCUAACGUUUUAGAUUAGGGUAAGAGAUGCCGCCGGCAGUGGUACUGUUUGGCUUCGCUAGACAAACAAACAUGUAUAGCCUUUAAUCUACUUUGUUUUACUACUUUUUCCUGUUCAUUCUUUUUAAAUAUUUUUCUGUUUAUUUCUUUAAUUUUUAAAAUUUGAUUUUUUUUGUUCCAAAGUGAUAUGGUUUAGGGUUUCGACAUGAUUCAGACAAGAGAUCAUUCAUUUUGUUCAAACAAACAAUGGAUUGUUUUUGACAUGAACCUCCUUCUUCGACCUUGAGGCAAUGAGUGCAGGGGCGGAUGCUUUGAUAAGGGAGGGAUUUUUUUAGUGAGUAGGUAUAUAUUUAUAUUUGGCUACUUCUAAUAAUAUAUAUUUAACUAUCCCAAAUUUUAUUUUAAAUGAUUUUUUUUUUUCCAUCCUUAUUUAGUUCAUGUCGAACUUCGAAUUAUUUGAUCCCGUCAUAUAGGAACUUCGAAUUACAUUAAUUAUGUUUGUAGGUUAGCAGAGACGUUCUAUUCUUAUGAUUUUACUGAGCAAGAAAGAGCUCAUUUGAGGUUGCAAGUAAGUCAUUACAUUGCUAAUAUAUCUCAGUCUUUUCAAAAUUUAACAACACUCUUUGGUGCAAAAAAUUAGUAUAAUCGGGGAAAUCAAAGCAUUAUCAUUUAAUUGAUAUAUUGAUUCGUCUUGUUUUGACACUCCUAAUCUCCACAACAAGAGAGAGAGCUUUCUCAUCAAUGAAGAAUCUUGAGACAAAAUAAAGAAACAAAAUGAGUGAUGAUUUUCUUGCAAGUAGCUUGGUUAUUUACAUUGAAAAGGACAUUGCAAGUCGGUUUACCUGAGAUGCAAUUAUGGAUGAAUUUGAGUCUUUGAAGGGUGGUCGAGUUCAAUUUUUAUAAAUAGCUACUAUAUUAGUUUUUAUUUCUUUUGUGGUAGUUUUUUUGUACAAUCUGUUAUUCUACUGUGGUUUUUUUGCUAGAAUCUGUUAUUGUCUUAUUUUUGGUUUAAUCCGUUUUUGUUGAAUCAAGUGUAUAUUUUAUGAAGAACAUUUUAUAUAAGUAAUAAUUAUUGUGAGUUUUUUU
rnacentral:lncRNA from 1 species